AAUGAACGUUGGCGGCGUGGAUUAGGCAUGCAAGUCGAGCGAGAAGUUGAAAUUGGAAGCUUCGGCCUAAGAGAUCAGCGGAAAGCGGCAAACGGCGUAGUGAUACGUAGGUACGUACCCUUGGGUUGGGAAUAGCCACGGGAAACUGUGGGUAAUGCCCAAUAAUCUCUGCGGAGCAAAGGUGUGAUUCCGCCUGAGGAGCGGCCUACGCGAUAUUAGCUAGUUGGUGGGGUAAUGGCCUACCAAGGCGAAGAUGUCUAGGGGGUGUGAGAGCAUGGCCCCCACGACCGGAACUGAGACACUGUCCGGACACCUACGGGUGGCUGCAGUCGAGAAUCUUCCGCAAUGGGCGAAAGCCUGACGGAGCGACGCCGCGUGCGGGAUGAAGGCCCUUGGGUUGUAAACCGCUGUCGGAGGGGAUGAAAUCAUGGUUGGCAAUCCUUCCAUGUUGACAGAGCCUCAGAGGAAGCACGGGCUAAGUACGUGCCAGCAGCCGCGGUAACACGUACUGUGCGAACGUUAUUCGGAAUCACUGGGCUUAAAGGGUAUGUAGGCGGUUUGGGAAGUCAGAUGUGAAAUGCCACAGCUCAACUGUGGCACUGCGUUUGAAACUCCCAGACUAGAGUAUUCCAGAGGUGUGCGGAACUGCCAGUGGAGCGGUGAAGUGCGUUGGUAUUGGCAGGAACACCAGAGGCGAAGGCGGCACACUGGGGGAUAACUGACGCUGAGAUACGAAAGCCAGGGUAGCGAACGGGAUUAGAUACCCCGGUAGUCCUGGCUGUAAACGAUGAGUACUGGGCGAGAGGCGAUUCGUCGCUUUUUGCCGUAGGGAAACCAUUAAGUACUCCGCCUGGGGAGUAUGGUCGCAAGGCUGAAACUCAAAGGAAUUGACGGGGGCUCACACAAGCGGUGGAUGAUGUGGCUUAAUUCGAGGCAACGCGAAGAACCUUAUCCUGGACUUGACAUGCUUGGAUUAACCCAGUGAAAGCUGGGC
rnacentral:rRNA from 1 species